UAAUGAUGGCAAAGAGGUCACACCUGUUCCCAUGCCGAACACAGAAGUUAAGCUCUUUAGCGCCGAUGGUAGUUGGGGGUUUCCCCCUGUGAGAGUAGGACGUUGCUA
rnacentral:rRNA from 1 species